rnacentral:rRNA from 1 species
UACGUAGGGAGCAAGCGUUGUUCGGAGUUACUGGGCGUAAAGGGUGCGUAGGCGGCUUUUUAAGUUUGGUGUGAAAUCUCCCGGCUCAACUGGGAGGGUGCGCCGAAUACUGAGAGGCUAGAGUGUGGGAGAGGAAAGUGGAAUUCCUGGUGUAGCGGUGAAAUGCGUAGAUAUCAGGAGGAACACCGGUGGUGUAAACGGCUUUCUGGACCAUAACUGACGCUGAUGCACGAAAGCUAGGGGAGCAAACAGG